rnacentral:ncRNA from 1 species
AGUGGUUUAAUUUCAGCCAUAUAAAUACAAUAAAGGAUCCACAUAUAAGCGUUAAUUACAGAUAAAUAGCAAGACAUAAGUUUAAACUUUAGUGGAUAGAUUUUAUAAUUCUAAAUAUUAGAUUUGAGUCCUUUAUAAUUAACUAGGAAAAGUCACAGUGCCAGCAUCCGCGGUUAUUCUGUUUAGUAUUAUUUAAAAAUAUAUAAAUAUGGGUAAUUUUUUUAUUAUAUGAGUAGAAUCUUAAUAGUAAAUAAGUUUAAUAUCCUAGUAUUAUAAGAAAUAAGUAAACAAGAAUGAGAUUAGAUACCUCAGUAUUACUUAUAAAAUAGUUUUUAGUUAAACUAAAGAAAUUUGGCAGUCUUUUAUUCUCUACUGGGGGUUGUGUGCGUUAAAGGAUGAUCCGCCCACCAACUUACCUUUGAUUAAAUGUAGGUGUACGUCUGACUGAAUACUAAUAUAAAAAUAUAUUGGUGUAAUUAAUUUUAUUAAUUUAAGUCAAGUCUAUGUGCCACUAUACAGAGGUUCGCAUGCUACACAUUAACAGAAUAGACAUUGUAAUUAUGUUUAUACUCAGGACUAGUAAGUAUAUAAGUAUAAAUAGUUAUAUAUAAAUGAGUUUAAUAGAGGUACAUACCGCCCGUCAAUCUCGGUUUUCACUGAGAUAAGUCGUAACAUGGCAGCUUAUGGGGAACCAGAAGCUUGUAAA